rnacentral:rRNA from 1 species
AUGGCCACCCCCGACCUCCUCUUCAACCUGCGCAACCUCUUCUACCUCGGCGCCUACCAGUCCGCCAUCAACAACAGCGACGUCCCGGGCCUCGACGCCGACGCCGCGGCCGAGCGCGACGUCAUCGUCUUCCGCUCCUACAUCGCCCUCGGAUCCUACCAGCUGGUGAUCAGCGAGAUCGACUCGUCGGCGGCGACGUCGCUGCAGGCCGUCAAGCUGCUCGCGCUCUACCUCACCGGAGACAAGGAAGGUGCGAUCUCCAGCCUGAAGGAAUGGUUGAGUGAUUCAGCUAUAGGAAGCAAUCCUGUUCUGCGAUUGAUUGCUGGAAUUAUAUUUAUGCAUGAGCAAGACUACAAUGAGGCUCUCAAGCACACACACACUGGGGGGACUCUGGACCUGCAUGCACUGAAUGUCCAGAUCUUCCUUAAGAUGCACCGGUCAGAUUAUGCUGACAAGCAACUGAAGAUCAUGCAACAAACCGACGAGGACCAUACACUGACACAACUAGCAAAUGCUUGGCUCGAUAUUGCUGUUGGUGGCUCUAAGAUCCGGGAAGCUUAUCUCAUAUUCCAGGACUUCGCUGAAAAGUACCCUAUGACUGGAAUGGUUCUUAAUGGCAAGGCAGUUUGCUGUAUGCAUAUGGGGAGCUUUGAGGAGGCUGAAACUCUAUUGCUUGAAGCCCUAAACAAGGAUGCAAAGGAUCCUGAAACUCUUGCCAAUCUUAUUGUAUGUAAUCUCCACCUUGGCAAACCGUCGUCACGAUACUUCAGCCAGCUGAAGCUGUCGCACCCUGAUCACGUGCUAGUUAAGACCACCACGUCAGCGGAGGAUAAUUUCGAGAGGGCACUCCAAGCCGUCGCCUGA